rnacentral:rRNA from 1 species
GACGAACCGUGCAAGCGUUAUUCGGAAUCACUGGGCUUAAAGGGCGCGUAGGCGGGCCGCCAGGUCCGGGGUGAAAGCCUCCAGCUCAACUGGAGAAGUGCCUUGGAUACCGGCGGCCUCGAGGGAGGUAGGGGCGUGCGGAACUUCGGGUGGAGCGGUGAAAUGCGUAGAUAUCCGAAGGAACACCGGUGGCGAAAGCGGCGCGCUAGAUCUCUUCUGACGCUGAGGCGCGAAAGCCAGGGGAGCAAACGGG